rnacentral:rRNA from 1 species
GGGUCAGUAGGUUGGUCGUGCCACCGGUACGUACUGGUCUCACUGAUUCCUCCUUCCUGAAGAACAGUAAUGCCAUUAAUUUGGUGUUGCGGGGAAACAGGACUGUUACUUUGAAAAAAUUAGUGUGUUUAAAGCAAGCUAAAGCUUGUAUACAUUAGCAUGGAAUAAUGAAAUAGGACGAUCGAUCCUAUUUUGUUGGUUUCUAGGAUUGACGUA